rnacentral:rRNA from 1 species
GACGAACGCUGGCGGCGUGCCUAAUACAUGCAAGUAGAACGCUGAAGAGAGGAGCUUGCUCUUCUUGGAUGAGUUGCGAACGGUUGAGUAACGCGUAGGUAACCUGCCUUGUAGCGGGGGAUAACUAGUGGAAACGAUAGCUAAUACCGCAUAACAAUGGAUGACACAUGUCAUUUAUUUGAAAGGGGCAAUUGCUCCACUACAAGAUGGACCUGCGUUGUAUUAGCUAGUAGGUGAGGUAAUGGCUCACCUAGGCGACGAUACAUAGCCGGCCUGGAGGGGUGGACGGCCACAAUGGGAACGGGACAACGGCCAAACCUCCUCCGGGAGGCAGAAGUGGGGAUUUUCGGCAAAGGGGGGAAAGCCGGACGAGGAAAGGCGGGGGGGUGGAAGAAGUUUUCCGGUUGGAAAACUCUGUUGGUAGGCAAGGAAGGGGGUGUGGGUGAAAAGUUCGCGCUGUGACGGUAGCUUACCAGAAAGCGACGGCUAACUACGUG